AUCAAACCUUCACUGCAAACUUGUGUUGUAGAAAAAGUGGCCGGAUUAAAUAUGAAGACUUUCAUUUUGCUGAUGUGUCUCAUUGGAGUGAGCCUGGCUCUUCCAAUUGACGUUUCUGAGGAAGAGUAUGCACCUUCUUCGCUUACAGCACAUCACCGAGUUGCACGUUCCAGUUCAGAUUCCUAUUCCAGAGAGGCACCACGAAUGCCAAUGCCGAAUAUGAUGCAACUUAUGAGCCUCCUCCAGAGACUACUCCCCCUCAUCCGCCCUGCUCCUGUUCCAGCAACUCCUGCAGCUCGUGCUACAACUGCUCCUAAAGUUCCUGCUACUACCAAAAAAUAACCUGGACAGGAGACCUGCACCAAUCAGGAACUCCAGGAAUCAGUCUGCAGUCUAGACAUAACAUAAAUAGUCUGAAAUCAACUUAGUCUGAUGAUAUCCACCAUGGGAAAUCUCCAUUUCUUUUUCUAUAUGUUAAAAUCUGAAAUAAUUAUCAGAAUUAUAGCUUAAUUCAGUUCUAAUUCUUUCUUUUUGUCCCUGUUAGUUGAAAACUGGUUACAGUAGAAUAAACUUCAUCUUUCAAUGCACUCUGCCUCAUUACCUGUGUCUCUGUGUACACCUGUGCCUCAAAUCAAAUCAUCUCACUGGGGCUUGGGGAGAAUUAAACAUGUUACUGUAAAUGAUUAGUACAUUCUUUUACAGCAACCUGAGCUGUCUGUAGUGAUUAAUUCCCUAUUCACAAUCA